CGGACCCGGAAAUACGUCCUCUUGUCUUGGAGACUCAACCAUGAGCAGAAAGCAGCCCUGCAGCUCCUCGUGUCAGCUGCAAACUAAGAAGACUACAUCAUGUUUAAUCUUAAAUACGAAGAUGUGCAGAUGAAGAUGGACAUUGUGACCUGUGAUUGGUACACCUGAUCAGAUGUCAGGUAGCUGCUGCCUACUACACAUGGCCAAACACUGGUUUUCACCGUUUGGACUUUAAGGGGCCAUGCUACAGUCACAGGAUAUGCAUUAGAUGUAAUCCUUUGCCUCCUGUGCUGAUCAAGAGAUGAGCAGUCAGUAGAAGUGGAACCAAAACACACCACUGUGUGUCUGCCUGUAAUGAGUGGUUAUAGAGCCAGUCGACUGAUCAGGCCAUCUAUAGGGAACAUUGUUUUAAGUGUUUCUGGAGCUGAUGGAUCACCAUUUGGAAGGAAAUCUUACUUGCCUUUUUUUGAGGGGGGGAUUUAAUGCCUUUCAUCAAUAAUAAAAACCUGUUUACAAGAAAAA